rnacentral:rRNA from 1 species
UACGUAGGGGGCAAGCGUUGUCCGGAUUCAUUGGGCGUAAAGAGCGUGUAGGCGGCCAGGUAGGUCGGUUGUGAAAACUGGAGGCUCAACCUUCAGAGGUCGACCGAAACCAUCUGGCUAGAGUCCGGGAGAGGAGAGUGGAAUUCCUGGUGUAGCGGUGGAAUGCGCAGAUAUCAGGAGGAACACCGGUGGCGAAGGCGGGUCUCUGGGCAGUAACUGACUCUGAGGAGCGAAAGCGUGGGGAGCGAACAGG